AGAGUUUGAUCCUGGCUCAGGAUGAACGCUGGCGGCGUGCCUAAUACAUGCAAGUCGAGCGAACAGAUAAGGAGCUUGCUCCUUUGAAGUUAGCGGCGGACGGGUGAGUAACACGUGGGUAACCUACCUAUAAGACUGGGAUAACUUCGGGAAACCGGAGCUAAUACCGGAUAACAUUUAGAACCGCAUGGUUCUAAAGUGAAAGAUGGUUUUGCUAUCACUUAUAGAUGGACCCGCGCCGUAUUAGCUAGUUGGUAAGGUAACGGCUUACCAAGGCGACGAUACGUAGCCGACCUGAGAGGGUGAUCGGCCACACUGGAACUGAGACACGGUCCAGACUCCUACGGGAGGCAGCAGUAGGGAAUCUUCCGCAAUGGGCGAAAGCCUGACGGAGCAACGCCGCGUGAGUGAUGAAGGGUUUCGGCUCUUAAAACUCUGUUAUUAGGGAAGAACAAAUGUGUAAGUAACUGUGCACAUCUUGACGGUACCUAAUCAGAAAGCCACGGCUAACUACGUG
rnacentral:rRNA from 1 species